UGGCUCGCGUUCGAGCCCGUGGAGGGUUGUGUUCAAGGCCUUCAUGCUUGCUGGGAGGCCCAAGUGAGGAUGAGCUGCUGGGUGGUGAAUUGUGAUCAGUGACAUUUGUUAUCCCAUUGUCAGAAUAGUAAGUACUCGGCUGUUCUAUAUUUCUUGAAUGGGGGUGUUUACCCGAGCACUACAUCAGUCCCAACGUCAAAGGUGAUUUGAUACUCGCAUAAUAAUAAGUACUCCAGCUGUUCUAAAUUUCUUGAAUGGGGGUGUUUACCCAAGCACUACAUCAGUCCCAACGUCAAAGGUGAUUUGAUACUCGCAUUUCGAAUGCCAAAAUGCGAUUUCCGUGCUUCCUUUGAAUCUUUCUUCUUUAUUCUUAUCUGAACAAAAUGCCAAAAUGUUCAGGAGUAUGUUCUUCAGCUCCUCGGGUGGACGGGCUUCGAGUGAAGAUGUUCGCGUGGGUUCUCGAGACGCCGGUCCUCGGCUCUGUCGUGCUUAACAAAGAUCAAAGAUUACCUCGUCAACAAGCCAAGCUGAUGCAAUUCAUUUUUGCCGGGAACCUUCUUGGCUUGCCUGCCAUUACUGUUCCUCUAAGUGUGGUGUCACAACUCAUGACGAGUUGGUCAUGACAAGCAAGGCCUUCCUAUCGGCUUGCAACUGAUAGGCCGUCCGUGGGGCGAGGCUAGCUUAUUGAGCGUGGCUUCGGCAGUAGAGGAGCUCUGCCUGAAGAAAAGAAAUCGGCCAUCCACGUUUUACGACAUCCUGAAGACCUGAAACAUCAUCAGUAUACCAUACUAUCAAUAGUAUGUGAGAGAAACAUUGUAGCAGCAAUAAGCAAGUGAGGUACAGCAGUAUAUAUAUAUAUAAAGAACCGUUUGGACGUUUGGGAUAUAUGAUGAAGGUCUUCCUCUGGACAGCGAGCAGGAGAAGCUCACCGCGGAGGCUGAUUUCAAAAUUUCAGAUAGAAUGGGGAAGGAUGCCGGAGAUGUAGGGUUGUUGCUCCAGCGACGCCGGAGCCCAUUCAAGGGAAGAGAACACAUAAUCCAAGUGUUGCAACCUUUUCUGCUCCAGAUUUCCAUUGCGAUAUUAGUUAUAUGCAAGCAGCCUCCCAGGGUUCAAUCUUGGCGGCAAAAUCUCCACAACAAUGAGGGGGAUUCGACGAGCAUUUUGUCAAUAUCUGAUGUUACUUGUUACAUUUUUUCUGAAAUUUAAAAGCUUUCAGGUGUGUAAUGAGUUUCAGUAACAGUUUCAUUGUUUUUUUGUUAUAUGUCAUGGUUUAGAGUCGAAUGAAAUUUUCGGGCAUUUGUCGCUUAAAUCGUGGCAAGUGAGCUUCAGACUGAGGUCACGACUUCACGAGCCCAUCCUAUUGUCCUUGCCUCCAAUCCCUGAAUCCAGAAAAGACAGUGGGGUUUCGGUCCAAGAUUGCCGAGGACGAUGAGCAGCUUGGUGGUGCAGCUGCGAACGGUUGCGAUCAUCAGCAGAAGGCACGGACGCUAGGAAAUAUGCUUCAACAAGUGCAUCAGCUCACUAGGAUGACUGACACAUCAGCAGCUGAAGCAAGGGCAGGAAAGGGUAUACAAGGUAUACCAUGGGAAAAGUUACAAAUUACCAGGAAGGAUUACAGAAAAGCUAGGUUGGAACAGUACAAGAACUAUGAAAACUUCGUUCAAUCCGGAGAGCUCAUGGAUAAGGUCUUUAAUUACUAUAAAUUGUACCUGUCAAUGUUUAGGCUUACGGUAUAACAUAUCCACGCGACCAACCAUGAUUUUUUUUACAAAGAAGAUGAAGAGAAUCCUAAGGGAUGUUGUAUGAACUCGCCUUUUUAUUGUACAUUUGUACCAUUGUAUCGACAAAAUUGACAAAUCGAUACAAAUUUGACAAAUCAAGUUAGAAGUUCAAUUUAUUUA